AGUGGCGGACGGGUGAGUAACGCGUAAGAAUCUAACUUCAGGACGGGGACAACAGUUGGAAACGACUGCUAAUACCCGAUGUGCCGCAAGGUGAAACCUAAUUGGCCUGGAGAAGAGCUUGCGUCUGAUUAGCUAGUUGGUGGGGUAAAGGCCUACCAAGGCGACGAUCAGUAGCUGGUCUGAGAGGAUGAGCAGCCACACUGGGACUGAGACACGGCCCAGACUCCUACGGGAGGCAGCAGUGGGGAAUUUUCCGCAAUGGGCGAAAGCCUGACGGAGCAACGCCGCGUGAGGGAGGAAGGUCUUUGGAUUGUAAACCUCUUUUCUCAAGGAAGAAGUUCUGACGGUACUUGAGGAAUCAGCCUCGGCUAACUCCGUGCCAGCAGCCGCGGUAAUACGGGGGAGGCAAGCGUUAUCCGGAAUUAUUGGGCGUAAAGCGUCCGCAGGUGGUCAGCCAAGUCUGCCGUCAAAUCAGGUUGCUUAACGACCUAAAGGCGGUGGAAGCUGGCAGACUAGAGAGCAGUAGGGGUAGCAGGAAUUCCCAGUGUAGCGGUGAAAUGCGUAGAGAUUGGGAAGAACAUCGGUGGCGAAAGCGUGCUACUGGGCUGUAUCUGACACUCAGGGACGAAAGCUAGGGGAGCGAAAGGGAUUAGAUACCCCUGUAGUCCUAGCCGUAAACGAUGGAUACUAGGCGUGGCUC
rnacentral:rRNA from 1 species